GAUGAACGCUGGCGGCGUGCCUAAUACAUGCAAGUCGAGCGAACGGACGAGAAGCUUGCUUCUCUGAUGUUAGCGGCGGACGGGUGAGUAACACGUGGAUAACCUACCUAUAAGACUGGGAUAACUUCGGGAAACCGUAGCUAAUACCGGAUAAUAUUUUGCACCGCAUGGUUCAAAAGUGAAAGACGGUCUUGCUGUCACUUAUAGAUGGAUCCGCGCUGCAUUAGCUAGUUGGUAAGGUAACGGCUUACCAAGGCAACGAUGCAUAGCCGACCUGAGAGGGGGAUCGGCCACCCGGGAACGGCGCCACGGACCAGACUCCUACGGGAGGCAGCAGUAGGGAAUCUUCCGCAAUGGGCGAAAGCCUGACGGAGCAACGCCGCGUGAGUGAUGAAGGUCUUCGGAUCGUAAAACUCUGUUAUUAGGGAAGAACAUAUGUGUAAGUAACUGUGCACAUCUUGACGGUACCUAAUCAGAAAGCCACGGCUAACUACGUG
rnacentral:rRNA from 1 species